rnacentral:lncRNA from 1 species
AUGAUCUUGUUGUUGCUUCUAGUUGCCAGUCUUGGUGUGGGCCUUGCUUAUGUUGAAAAUCAUGAAGUGGAGUAUGGAAACAGAUUCAGGAUGAGGGUGUCAAGAAGGGUUCACUUUAUCGAGUUCAUCCCCAAGAACAAAUCAGAAGGGACGAUCUUGUGGAACCGUGACGAAGCUCCGCCCAGAGAGGGCAGUAGAUGGAAGAUGAUUGGGACCUUAUAUACCAUCAAUUCUUUAGCCCAAAAAGACAGUGGCCGCUACAUAUUCAAAGACAACUAUGGGGAAUUGAUGCAUGCGAAGAUCAUUGACGUAAAAGAGGUCACAAAGAGCUAUACCCUGGAGACUAAUGAAGUCCUGAACAUCACUUUUGAUCUGGAACCGCACUCCUGCAACAUUUACUUCUUCCCUGGUGAAAACAGUAAGACUGCGAUAGUCCUUAAGGGCAGGCUGCAGCAUGAUUCGAAACAAGUGGAUUGCGUGGGGUUUGAGCUUUUAAAGCCAUGUGGGAUUGUACACAAGGCCAUCCAAAAGACAUGCAUCGGACGGUUUGAAGUCAGAGAUGAUAAUGAUGACAAAGCCUUGGUAGUGUUCCUGGAAAUGGAAGUUUGA